CCUAGCUCUGCGUCUUCCUUCUCUCACCACCACCACCACCACCACCACCACCACCACCGAUCUCUUCUCUUUCACCCUCUCUAUAUAAAUAGAUUGUUGAAUCUGUAUAUCUGAUCUUUCUCAAGUAAAAACCCUAAUAUUUCUUACAAGGUUAGGGUUUGAAUCCCAAAGAAAACUGCAGCUUAGGAGUUAUUCGAUAUUUUAAGGGUGGUUAAGGUUUUCAAUCUCUCGAGGAGUCGUCUUCAUCAAGCCUAUGAUAAUGGUAGAGAUGAUGCCCCACCUCAAUCAGAUGUUUAAAUGUUCAAGUUAAUUUCUUAAUCAAUGAAUUCUUCCUAAGGAUUAGGUUUUCAGAGUAGAAAACUUCAUUAUAGAAAUUCAAUGGCACCAAAGAGUAGAAGCCCUAGCUCCCAAAAUCUUCAAAGCCAGCUAAAUCUGGUGGUGGUAAACAAAAGAAGGCUCUGAUGAAUGAUCAAUUUGAUAACUAUAUAGUGCAAAAAGUACUGGAGACUCGUAAUGUUCAAAUACCUAGGUUAAAUACCUGCUAUGUAUAUGGUGGAUUUCCUUACGGUCCUCAAGAAGCUACACUGAGAAGGGGGGUUGAUAUAGACUAUAAUCAUUGGAACUUCUAUAAGAAUAAAGUAGGUUUGGUGGAUUUGUGGAUGCUUCUUGAAGGUUUUUAAAAGGAGCUUCCAGCAUUAAUAAGAAUUUCUAUGCGUACCCUGCAAAACUAAGAUAUCUUACCAUACUGUCAAGCACUAGAGAAGUUCGCUCCCUAUAGUUGAUUUCCACUUUUAUCAUGUCAGGUUGGAAGUGGUCCCUCGCUGGAUCUAGAAGCUCGUUUGCUUCGAUUAAUGAACCAUCGUGGUUUGAGGCAUUAUUGGGGUAUCAGAGUCCAUGGACAGCUCACCAAGACUGCUGGAUUUUCAAGGUUAUUGGUUCUAAAUGUUGGCCCUUGAUUUCAAGGUACAAGGCAAGUGCUAGUGAAGAAACUCAUAUUUGUGUCGCCCAUUUGCAUGACUCAAGUGCUCAACAACAAGAAAUAAGCUCUUUCAUGUUUGAUAUGAAUACAUGGCGGAGAAAGGGAAUGAAUAACUCCAGAGCUUCUGCAUUUUCAGUGAAAGUGGCGUGCGACAUUUAGCACAUUGCUCUUGCUGGUCCCAGUAGAAAUGCCUAACAAUCCAUGGUGACAACUUAAACUUAAACCUUUGGGCAUGCCUCAUAAUGCAACAGAUAUGUUCACCUAGGUAGCUAGUUUCCGUAGUUCUAAAGAAUGUGAGUUUUUUUUCCUUUAAAUUGCUAUGUAAGAACCUUGAUGUGAUAUUAAAUUUAUAGAUUUAUAUGAUUUUCGUAAUGUGCUUCA